rfam:Fragilariopsis cylindrus CCMP1102 unplaced genomic scaffold FRACYscaffold_55, whole genome shotgun sequence.
GCUUCUUUAGCUCAGUUGGUUAGAGCAUUUCAUUAGUAAUGAAAAGGUCCGCAGUUCGACUCUGCGAAGAAGCU